CCCCCCCCCCCCCCCCCCCCCCCCCCCCCCCCCCCCCCCCCCCCCCCCCCCCCCCCCCCCCCCCCCCGUGGUUAAAAUUAUUGCUGCUUGUCCGAUGAUCAUGAACAUUUUCCAACAGCUGAGCCCACCUGUGCUUUCCCUGUGUACCCCAAAACGAAUCCCCCAAACCCUCCCCAUCCCAGAAUCUCAGCUCAGCAUCUCUCCUCCUGCAGUACUUCCUCAAAUUGUUUCAGCCUAUUCCUGUUGUGGAAAUUGUAGCAGAAAUACUAAUUAAUGUAGUGGUUUUGGUUUACUAAUCUGAAAUGUUCUUGUUGUGAGAUCGGAUUAGAAGGAAGGCAAAAACAGGCUCAACUUGAAAUGGUGCAAAGAAAAACUUUAUUACUAGAAACUGUAAGAAAAAAACCUCGGAAUAAAACUUUACACCACUUUUCUUCCUCUUACACGCUUCCUUUUUUACACUGAAAAAGAUCGGAAGAGCGGUUCAGCAUCCUUUUUUACACUGAAAACACGCAAAAAAAGACAACCCAGUUAGUUUACUAUCUUACCGUAGUUUUUUACUUAAUUUGUUUGAAAGAGAAGAUUUUUUUUUUAGUUUGUGGUAACUUUUUUACAACAAACAGGUUUUUUUAUGGCUUGGAUGUAACAGGUUUAGCAGCACAGGAGAAUGGAAACCUGAUCACUAUGCUAAAACUUUUUUUCAGAUUAAUAGUUUUUUCUAUAGUUAUUAUUGAGGACUACACUA
rnacentral:lncRNA from 12 species